AUGUCAGCCUCCGCCAUCGUCGCCGACAGGGCGAGCGGGUACCACCUUCUCACGGUCGAUGGCUACUCCUGCACCAAGACUGUUCCCACCGGAGAACCCCUUAAGUCACACCAGUUCGCCGCGUGCGGCCAUCGCUGGCACAUCGAAUACUACCCCAACGGCCAAACAUCGGAGUCAGCGGAUCACCUGUCCUUUUUUCUAUGUCUCGACGACAACGUUGUUGGCAGCACGGAGGUGAAAGCGCGCCACAGUUUCUGGUUCGUCGACGCGGUGCAGAAGGAGGAAGUGCUGCCUUCAUUCCCAUCGGGGGCAGCUGUGAAGAACUACGCAGGCAGCUCUGGCUGGGGGACUUCAAAGUUCAUCAAAAGGGAAGCCUUUGAGAAAUCCAAGCAUCUCAAGGAUGAUUCCUUCACAAUCAGGUGUGACAUUGUUGUCAUCAACGGGUUCUCCACCAAGAUGGCCGAGGCUGCUGCCCCAAAGUUUGUUUCCCCGCCCCCGUCCGACCUGAACAAGCACCUCGGCGUUCUCCUUAAGACCGAGAAGGGCGCCGAUGUGGUGUUUCGGGUUGGCAGUGAGACGUUCGCCGCACACCGAUGCGUGCUCGCCUCCCGAUCGCCGGUAUUCAGUGCGGAGCUCUUCGGCGCAAUGAAGGAGGGUGGCACAUCCGGAGUCAUACACAUAGAUGACAUAGAGGCUCAGGUGUUCAAGGCGUUGCUCUAUUUCGCCUACACCGACAAGAUACUAGAGACAAAAGAAGAAGAUGAAGAUACCAUGUUCCAGCAUCUACUUGUCACGGCAGACAGGUAUGACAUGGAGAGGCUGAAGCUGGUUUGCGAGGAAAGGCUAUGCGGGUACAUCGAUGUAGGCACAGUUGCGACCAUCCUGGCUCUCGCUGAUCAGCACCACUGCGUUGGGCUGAAGAAGGCAUGCUUUGAUUUCCUCAGCUCCCAUGCAAACUGGAGGGCAGUUGUGGCCACUGAAAGCUUCCAGCGUGUGUAUAUCAGCUGUCCUUCUGUUGUGAUGAAGCUGAUUGACAUGCCGUCGGCAGAGUGA
rnacentral:rRNA from 1 species